rnacentral:misc_RNA from 1 species
GAAAACGUUGAUCGGGAUAUUCAAAGUGAUGGCGUCGCUUUCACCAGUGUCGCUAUCAACGUCUUCAUCGGAGAACUCAAUCGUCCCGUCAAUCUAUCGGAAAUUUUAUGUAUUACCUACCGUUAUUGUCCAUUCUUUUCCGAGCCAUACGAUAAAGAAAUCCAGAACACAAAUAAACUAUGUGGCGUAUGUUCAACCUCAUGAUGUCAACAGACCGCGAUCUUCCAUAAGGUCGACCUCUUUUAAUGUUGAAGGAACUGGAAGCACUACUUCACUUGAUGAAGAAGUUAUAAUUGACACUUCUGGGACGGAUGCUUCCAUAAAGUUGCCUUUGCCUUUGUGUGAGACUCAAUCAUCCAGUA